CAGCAGCCGCGGGAAUACGAAGGGGGCUAGCGUUGUUCGGAAUCACUGGGCGUAAAGGGUGCGUAGGCGGGCAUUUAAGUCAGGGGUGAAAUCCCGAGGCUCAACCUCGGAACUGCCCUUGAUACUGGAUGUCUUGAGUCCGGAAGAGGUGAGUGGAACUGCGAGUGUAGAGGUGAAAUUCGUAGAUAUUCGCAAGAACACCGGUGGCGAAGGCGGCUCACUGGUCCGGAACUGACGCUGAGGCACGACAGCGUGGGGAGCAAACAGGAUUAGAUACCCGAGUAGUCCCUGUCUCUUAUAC
rnacentral:rRNA from 1 species